rnacentral:rRNA from 1 species
UUUAUUAGAUAAAAAACCAAUACAUACUUUUUCAAGUAUGAAAUUUGGUGAUUUACAAUAACUUAGCAAAUCGCAUAGUGAAAACAGGCGAUAAAUCAUUCAAGUUUCUGACCUAUCAGCUUUCGACGGUAUGGUAUUGGCUUACCGUGGCAGUGACGGUUAACGGGGGAUUAGGGUUCGAUUCCGGAGAGGGAGCCUGAGAAACGGCUACCACAUCUAAGGAAGGCAGCAGGCGCGCAAAUUACCCAAUUCUAACAGCAUAAGAGAGGUAGUGACAAGAAAUAACAAUACAAGGCAGUUAAAAUGCUUUGUAAUUGGAAUGAUAGAAAUUUAAACACUUUUUAAAGUAUCAAUUGGAGGGCAAGUCUGGUGCCAGCAGCCGCGGUAAUUCCAGCUCCAAUAGCGUAUAUUAAAAUUGUUGCAGUUAAAAAGCUCGUAGUUGAAUUUCUGUUAAAAAUAACCGGUCUGCUUUUAAUAAAAGUGGUAUCUUGGUGUGUUUUUAGCAAUAAUGUCCUUUGAAAUGUUUUUUACUUUAUUGUAAUAAAUAAUAUUCAGGAUUUUUACUUUGAGAAAAUUAGAGUGUUUCUAGCAGGCUAACGCUUUGAAUACUGCAGCAUGGAAU